CCCUUCUGUGACCUACCUAUCGUUGCUUCGGCGGACUCGCCCCAGCCCGGACGCGGACUGGACCAGCGGCCCGCCGGGGACCUCAAACUCUUGUAUUCCAGCAUCUUCUGAAUACGCCGCAAGGCAAAACAAAUGAAUCAAAACUUUCAACAACGGAUCUCUUGGCUCUGGCAUCGAUGAAGAACGCAGCGAAACGCGAUAAGUAAUGUGAAUUGCAGAAUCCAGUGAAUCAUCGAAUCUUUGAACGCACAUUGCGCCCGCCAGCAUUCUGGCGGGCAUGCCUGUUCGAGCGUCAUUUCAACCCUCGACCUCCCCUUGGGGAGGUCGGCGUUGGGGACCGGCAGCACACCGCCGGCCCUGAAAUGGAGUGGCGGCCCGUCCGCGGCGACCUCUGCGCAGUAAUACAGCUCGCACCGGGACCCCGACGCGGCCACGCCGUAAAACACCCAACUUCUGAACGUUGACCUCGAAUCAGGUAGGACUACCCGCUGAACUUAAGCAUAUCAA
rnacentral:rRNA from 1 species